rnacentral:rRNA from 1 species
GCGACAGGCCUAACACAUGCAAGUCGAGGGGCAGCACAAGGAGCAAUCUGAGGUGGCGACCGGCGCACGGGUGAGUAACACGUAUGCAACCUGCCUGUAAGCGGGGAAUAACCCGUUGAAAGACGGACUAAUACCGCAUAAUACUAAAUUACUGCAUGGUAAUUUAUUUAAACAUUUAUGGCUUACAGAUGGGCAUGCGCAUGAUUAGCUAGUUGGAGAGGUAACGGCUCCCCAAGGCAACGAUCAUUAGGGGUUCUGAGAGGAAGGUCCCCCACACUGGUACUGAGACACGGACCAGACUCCUACGGGAGGCAGCAGUGAGGAAUAUUGGUCAAUGGACGAGAGUCUGAACCAGCCAAGUCGCGUGCAGGAAGAAUGUCCUUAAUGGAUUGUAAACUGCUUUUGCAGGGGAAUAAAGUGCAUCACGUGUGAUGUUUUGUAUGUACUCUGCGAAUAAGGAUCGGCUAACUCCGUGCCAGCAGCUGC